rnacentral:rRNA from 1 species
AUACGUAGGGGGCGAGCGUUGUCCGGAAUUACUGGGUGUAAAGGGCGUGUAGGCGGGGAUGCAAGUUAUCGGUAAAAACCCGGGGCUCAACCUCGGGCUUGCCGGUAAAACUGUAUCUCUUGAGUAUAGGAGAGGGAAGUGGAAUUCCUGGAGUAGCGGUGAAAUGCGUAGAUACCAGGAGGAACACCAGUGGCGAAGGCGGCUUCCUGGCCUAUUACUGACGCUGAGGCGCGAAAGCUAGGGUAGCGAACGGGAUUAGAUACCCCGGUAGUCCUAGCCGUAAACGAUGGUCACUAGGUGUGGGUGGUGGUCAAGCCAUCCGUGCCGGAGCUAACGCAAUAAGUGACCCACCUGGGGAGUACGGCCGCAAGGUUGAA